GACGAACGCUGGCGGCGUGCCUAAUACAUGCAAGUCGAACGCAGUGGGGACGGGUGAGUAACACGUGGGUAACCUCCCAUCAGAGGGGAUAACACUUGGAUAAUGGUGCUAAACCAACACUGAUUGAUGGACCCGCGGUGCAUUAGCUAGUUGGUGAGGUAAAGGCUCACCAAGGCAACGAUGCAUAGCUGACCUGAGAGGGUGAUCGGCCACACUGGGACUGAGACACGGCCCAGACUCCUACGGGAGGCAGCAGUAGGGAAUAUUCGGCAAUGGACGAAAGCCUGACCGAGCAACGCCGCGUGAGUGAAGAAGGUUUUCGGAUCGUAAAGCUCUGUUGUGAGGGAAGCGGUAUCUAACCAGAAAGCCACGGCUAACUACGUGCCAGCAGCCGCGGUAAUAC
rnacentral:rRNA from 1 species